GUUCCGCAAAGGAGCGCGGGAGACCGGCUGGUGUUUGCCCGGCCUUGUUCUCACGGGGAGGCUUGGUCUGCGAGCCCUCGUGUGUGGGCCACCUCUCCGCACGCGGAGGUCCCUGGCUGACCUACUCGGGCUUGCCCCCACGGAUGUCUGUUUCCCCAGGACUGUUUCCGUUGUCGCCUGGCAGCUGCCGGUGGUUUUGUCCGCAACCUGGCGGGGGGGUCCUCAGGGGUAUCACCUGAAACCGCGCCCCGCCUCGGAGGGCCGGAAGAGACGGGAGAGAGAAGACCACUGCAGGCUGAUCGGUCAAAGGAAACAAGUGAUAUACCUCAGAUUUUAUGGGUCUGUUUAUGUGACACAGUAUCUGGAAUGUUUCCUGUAGAUCACAUGAGAGAAGUGUUGCA
rnacentral:lncRNA from 1 species